UACGAAGGGUGCAAGCGUUAAUCGGAAUUACUGGGCGUAAAGCGCGCGUAGGUGGUUUGUUAAGUUGGAUGUGAAAGCCCCGGGCUCAACCUGGGAACUGCAUCCAAAACUGGCAAGCUAGAGUAUGGCAGAGGGUGGUGGAAUUUCCUGUGUAGCGGUGAAAUGCGUAGAUAUAGGAAGGAACACCAGUGGCGAAGGCGACCACCUGGGCUAAUACUGACACUGAGGUGCGAAAGCGUGGGGAGCAAACAGG
rnacentral:rRNA from 2 species